AAAAAACGCGUCGACCCAUCGAUUCUUGCUCUCGCACGCAAGCCUCCCCUCGUCGCCUCUCCUCUUACGAUCUCUCUCCCCCCGCGACUCCUCGCCGCCGCCGCCACCACCCAUGUGCCGUCCGAUUCCGGCGAGUCCCGGCGGUGGGUGACACACCAUCGACCUCCCCUGGCCCCAUUCCUUGGUCCCACCCGUCCAAAUCCGUCGCUAUAGGCCUUCUGCCCUCGCUCCUGACCCUUGGCCAUGGCUAGGGUCUCGCGCGCGGCGUCACCUUCGUCGUCGGCGAGGCUCUGGCGGGUUCCGGCGGCUCGUCUCAACGCGUGGCUCCGCCUCAUGGAGCGCUGCAGCGCGGACGAGAAGGUGGAGGGCGGCGGUCGCCGUGGCGAAGGAGGGGCGGCGCUGCCACAGAGGAGAGCGACGAGGGUUGCGGCGUCGCUGCAGAUGAUGAGGAGGAGAGCCACUGCACCACGCGAUUCCACGUGAUCCUCUCAUCUUCAGGCUGAACAUCCUCUGUAGCAUCCGCUGAAAUUUUCUAUAAAGGGCUACAUCAUCAAACACAUUAACCUACGCGUAAGGGGCGCCCUCUCGCAAUAGCCACGUCGAAUUUACUGUGCUGAAGGCGACAAAGUUAAAAACGCGUCGACCCAUCGAUCAUUGCUCUCGCAUGCAAGCCUCCCCUCAUCUCCUUAUUUCAAUUGCAUUUCAGUUGAUGCACAAUAUGUGAUGCUUUAGACGACACUACAGCGAACUAUUUCAUUUGUUAUGCCCCUUAUUGUAUUUCAGGCUCAGACAACUAAAAGAGGAAGUUCUUGCAAAAAAGAAAACUAGAAGAGGAAGUUGCUAUGGUUGGUGUGGCUGAGAAACUACGGCAUAAAAGAGCAGAAGUGGCCUGAGUCUUCAUGUUCUUUGCAGGUAUAAGCCCUUCAGGCAAAUUAAGCAGUUUUUCAUGUUAGAAUAGGGUGUUGCUUCAUGCAACUGCGCCGCCGUUUAGUGUUUACAGAUCACAAACUAAGCAAAAUCUGGAUGUUCUUUCGAUUAUAACUUUAUUACUAAAGUUCUCUUAUUUUAGUUUGUUGCACUGCAUGAUAUACUGAGCAUACUUCUUACUAUUUGAUUUAAAUAUAUGGAUAAAAUGGCACCAUUUGUUUUGGGGUGGGGUCAGAAGAGUUCUCAGCAGCAUAUGUACUUUGUGAAGUCCAUAUGCUGCGAACUAAUGCUACAAAAGUUAUCCUUUCUCUCUAGAAGUAUCUAACUUACAUGGCGUGCUUGCAAAUCAUGAUUUAGGAUGACCUUGUGUUCAGGUUGAAGUAAAUAAUGUUCUCAUAUCAUUCUUUCACAGAUAUUUGUGUAGUUCUCUAGCUUACAAUUUAUAACAAAUAAACUAGGAUCCUUUCUUAUUUUUUUCCUCAAAGAGGCAUACCCGACCGCAGUGAGGAAGGAGGGCUUCGGUCGGCUAUUCGGCGGCCUCCCCUACCACUCAAGUAAGAAAUGAUCCUUUUUCUGGGAGGGCAGCAGAUCUAGAAACAAGGAUUUAUUUUGCAAACAAAUCGAUGGGCAAUGCAUUGUGUACAACAUCGGGCAGGAAGCAGACCCAUAAAUUUUACGCUUUUUAUUAUUUUCUGUUUUAAUGAAACCUAUUAGAUAAAUGUGAAGUUGAAAUCCUGCAGCUUAUGAUGAAUGGGGAUCAGGUGUUAGUUUGGUUGUCAGAUCAUUUGCAUGAUGUCAACUUAUUAUAUUAUGCUUAUUAUAGGCGACGUAUCAAGUAUUAGGCGUAGUAGUAAAAGCAGAAGAAAUAAUCUCUCAGGUUACAAGAAAGUUAGUUUUUCAGGUGUGCAUGCUGAUGUGAGGUUUAUAUACAGAGUGAAAAGGAAGUGUUGAUAAAAUCCAUUCAUUCAUUGGCCUGCAUGCAUCACCUAUUCAAGUGUCACAUGGGAGCUCAGCCCAUUUUUGAAAGGAAAUUGAUCUGGUUGCACUACAAUAAAUAGUUAACACCUUCAUUGAGGUGCCUGGCAGCGUACUGCAUGAAUUAGUGCAAUUUUGUAAAUUUACUUCUGGAAUUGCCGAACAACCUCAAGGUUGGCUACACAAUAUAUUUUUUUAGUGUAAAUGUGAUUAAUUUCCAAACACUUCAGCAAAAAAAUCCAGCAUCGAGAAAAGUGUUACCAUUACUAAAUUAGGCCCUUUUGGAUAAAUACGAACUUAGCUAGACAGACUCAUAUAAAGUAAUGUUUUUUUAUUGUUGCCCCAUAGAUUCUUGGUAAUCAAUUCAGGAUGAUAUAAUUUUAUAGCUUGGCGUCAGGAAUUUAUAGUUCAGAUUAAAUUCCUGACGUAUAAAUGUAUAAAACCAUGUUAUAUAAUUCCACAGUAUUAGAUGCUCAAUAUUGUUCUUGCCAUGAUGUAUAUUAAAUGUGGUUGUGUUUUUAUCCUUCCCAUUUUCAGAUCAGGUUCUGGUUGAUGUGUAGAGCUAUUUCCAUCCCAACAAAUGUCUCUCAGAGAUCUAUCUGCCUACCAUGAUUUGAGUGCUGAACUAUUAUCCGGGUUCCUUGCAGAAAAAAUCAAUGAUAUGAUUGUUCAUGUUAAAUGGUCUUGCCUUUCUUCUUCUUAUUUCACUGUACAUCCUGAUCUAACACUAUCUGGAUAUAAUAUGUGCUUGUUGCUUGACUGGCACUUUACUUUUCUAUGCGGAAGGUACAUUACAGAAGAUGAUAGGAUACUUUCAAUUCUGCAUUAGCAUGACAAUAUCCAUGAUGUAAGCAGCUUUCAUUCAUAAGCAUCAAUCUGAAUAAUAAUAAUUCAGAAAUUGUUUUGAUUUUGAUAUGUUCCUGAUGCUUGUGGUUGGUUUGCCCCCAUUGUAGCGCUGACAUGAUCCUAUCAUACAUCGAGUAGCUUUUGGUUGGAUGGUAAACUGAGUGGACAAAAAUGACCUUGUUUUUUAUUUUGUAAAAUGAUAAUUUAAUGAGCUUAUGAUUCCUAAAAUGAAUAGUAUGGUAUUUUCAUCAUUAAAAUCCAGGCAACUAUUGAACUCCCUGGAAAGGGGUGUGUGUGUGCAUUGGGGCUAGAGGCACUGCUUGGGACCCAGUUGUAAGUGGGUGGUCCAUUUGUGGAGAGUUGUUGUGCCCUGUUGGAUGUGUUGCUAUGUGGUUAAUUAUUGCCUAUGUGGUUGGUCGUGUGAAUUUUCUAUUAGACUUGCAUCGUAUGUGAAUUAACACCGCCUUUCCCCUCAUGUAUAAACCUUUCUUCUAACAAAAGAAAAUGAUGGCACCAUGACAAGGAAAAAUAUCUAGAGCCCACAACCCAGUGACCAGUUGAGAUAGGACUACUUAAGAAAUGGAGUAAGGAGAUUAACCUCGCCACUUCUUGAUUCUUCCCUCUUUCCAGUGCCCUGUUCCCAGAACUUAUCGUCUUUGCUUGUGCAGAUUUUGAUUAUGUACGCCUACAAGGUAUUUGCUGAAAAUCCCAGAGGGCUGGCAGGGAAGGAGUGGUCUCUAUAAGCCAUGUGAUUCCAUUCUUCAAAAAAUUAGUACCAGCAAUCAUAGCAAGAUGAUUUUGAGAUUAAUAAGAAUCCAUGAGAUGAAUAAAAGUAUGAAGAAACAAGGAAUUCUGUCACAGGAGAAACUGUGGUACACCACUUCAACACGGCACAAGAGGCAGAUCAGGGCAUCUUCAAGGAUAAGGAAACAUCUGCAGACCUGAAGGUGGUUGGGAACUUGGGAUGUCCUUGCUAUUGGAGUGGUUCGCCGAAAAUUAUCGGCAGUUUGGUUGCACAUUGGAGCUUAUCACAAACAAUACACAGGAAGGAUCUCAGUGUUGUACGGGUUAUGGUGGGAUAGGAGGGAUCCUGCACACCGGGUUGAGGUGAACGCUUAUGAAGACACACUUGAUGAGGAGUAUGAUGAAGACUUUGAAGACCAGUCAGCUGAAACUCCAGUGAAUUCAGUACAGGAGGAGCCUGUCCUAGCUCGGAACCGGAACGCGCCGUAGCAGGAGGCUGAGGCAUCUACAAGCUCAGCGAGGAAAGUUUAAGGAAGACGACGAGAAGAUUUGAGAAAUGAUGAUAUAUAGCAUGCUGCUGCUGCUGCAUAAGUGAAGUCCUCUCAGCGUGAUUGGGAGGAAGACUGUAUUGCUGAUCUCCAUCAGAAGACUAUCCUAUUUAGUACUGUCAUUAUUAAUAAGAGGAAUCAUAGUUAUAAGUUACUAUUAAGUGUCUCUUGUGUGAUCUCGAAUUUGUGUGUUAAGUUUGUGCUUUAUUACUGUUGCUGCAGCUGCGUCUGCAAUUCUGCAUCUGCUUAUCUGAACCGAAGUUGUGAUGCUGCCCUAUAUUUAUUUGAAAAUAAAAUCUAUUG